UUUAUAUGAGAGUUUGAUCCUGGCUCAGGAUGAACGCCGGCGGUGUGCCUAAUACAUGCAAGUCGAACGCGUUGGCCCAAUUGAUUGAUGGUGCUUGCACCUGAUUGAUUUUGGUCGCCAACGAGUGGCGGACGGGUGAGUAACACGUAGGUAACCUGCCCAGAAGCGGGGGACAACAUUUGGAAACAGAUGCUAAUACCGCAUAACAACGUUGUU
rnacentral:rRNA from 1 species